rnacentral:lncRNA from 1 species
UAACUGAUUUGAGUACCUUGCCACCAAUGUGUAACCACCUUCUCACUCUUCUAGGGGGUCCCACAUGGCCAGAUGGACCUUCUCCUCUGUGUUCACCAUGCUCCCCUUAUUAGAUUGUAGAUUGAAGGAAACUGAAGCCAAGGGGCCUGUGGGCUGAUGGGCUUGCAAUCUUGGUCUAUCAGUGUCCAUGUCUUGGGCCAAGAACAAAAGGCUGAACCUGCCAGCAGCACCCUCCAGGACAGGGGCCGGCUACCCCAGCAUAAGGUGUAUCUAUGCCCCCAGCUGAAUCAAGGAAAGCUAUCCCUGGCUCCCUGGCAGGACCUAGGCGUAGUAGAAGGGAGCUCUGUCUACUGCGUCUGUUAUCCAAACCUAUAGUCAGGAAACUGGUUCUUAGCUCCCCAGGGAUGUUGGCUCCCUGAACCAUGUCCACUCUCCUGCCUUCCCCAGACCCAGGAAAGACCCAAGAAAGAGAAGGGUCCAGGGUAUUCAGUUCUGUCUGGGUCAGUUCAACGUGGCCCUGCGACGGUGAGGUCAUGUCUGCAAAGUGCACUUUUAAAGAACAUUUCUUGGUUCUCUAAGCCUUAAACGCUCGGCCAGUACCGAGUGUACACAGGCAGUUAUCCGUAAACACAUGUGAGAACCAGGUUGAUGACUUCCUGGUGGAACCAGAAGCAAGGAAAUGGGGUUUCAGCUCUGCCCGGCCGAGGUAUGACUUGGCCUGGAGGCGGGGAUUCCUGGUGUAUGACUGUGCAGCCUCUGUACAAAGACAAGGUGAAGCAGUGGGGUUCCAGAGUCACUGUGCCAACCCUGUUGUCCUAGCUUUGAAACAGUCCCUCCCUGGAAAAUGAUGCUGGCUUCCAGCAGGGAUGGCCUAGAGUUCCUGGAUCUUUGAAACUGCAGAGCAGAGCAGAGCAGGAAAACUCAUCAGCUUCCCAGGCCUUCAUCAGCACCAGAGCCAGCACAGGUAGCCCUGGCCCUACAGAGCCCCAGAGACAACACGGGUGGUGUCACGGAUGGUCACAUUCAUGCUGUUUUCAGGGACAUCUUUCACAAGCCAGGCCAGCCUCCUUUGUCCUAUGCCAACAGCUAUAUCUGACUGUCCUCAAGAUGUCCUCCUAUCAGAGCCUGUUUUUAAAGUUUCCCUAGAGGCAAGAGGCACAGUGAACGUUGCCAUGGUUGGAAGUGAAUUAGCUUUUCCUGGUCCCUACUAUACCCCCCCCCAAGAUUCAGUACUCUGAACCAGAUAGGAGGCAUAAAUAACCCAGGCUAUUAGAGGGGCCAAAUGACCCCAUUUCACAUGUAUGCAUGUGUACAUGCGUGCAUGUGUGCAUGUGUGCGUGUGAGUGUGUGUGUGAGUGAGUGUGUGUGAGUGUGUGUGUGUGUGUGUGUGUGUGUGUGUGUGUGUGUGUGUGUGUGUGUUUUCACCCAAAGGUCAUUAUGAUGUCACCCAGGGCAUUUCUGGCCUAUUCCUGUAACUUUUGGCCAAUAUACUGUCUCCCCAGAGGCUCCCUGCCUGUGUUCUUCUGAGUUGGCUGCCUUGGGCCCCUUCUAGAGCACCGGUAUUUCAGAAAAUCAUCAGAAUCUGUCAGGCUGGAACAGCUGACAGAUAGGUGCCAUGCCUAGACACCUCACCCACCUGGGCCGGAGCAGAAAGGGCAGAGCCUGGGGAACGCACAGAGCUUUGAUUGUGAUUGGAUGAACAAGAUAACUGAAAAUAGAGGGGAGUAUAUGACUAAUAUGGAGGAUGUGGGGUAUGAAGGAGUGUGAGUUAUGAAUGUGUCUUAGCAUGUUUCUGGAGUGGAGGUCAUGAUGUCGAGGGCUGAUGAAGAGGGACAUAGCCCUAGAUAGCCCAGUUCCCAUUGCAAACCCUGCUCUCUGCUCACAUCUGGCUUCAUGCUAACAGUGCCCUCUGCCCCUCCCAGCUCAGCUGAAGCCUGACUUUCCAGAUGAGCUCCAGCAUCAGCAGAGGUUUGGGGCCUGGCCCACCUGCACAGGCUCUGAGAACCCAGAGCCUCAGCACUCUGCACCUUUUCUACAGGGAGAGGCUUACUCAAGGUUGCUGUAGUAGCUCACCUACACCCUGCUAGCCAGAGCAAAGUCCUGCACAGGAAGCCACACUGCUUGGGGUCACAGCAUGGAACAUCCCUGAGCUGGCAGGACUUUGAGCCCCCAGUAGCCCAGUGCAGGAAGAACUGGCCCACCUUACUGAUCAGGCAAAGUUAAAGCCCUAGCACCUGUUCUCAUAUCAGCCACCCUGCAAAUGGUGGGAUUCAUCUGUACCUUAGUCCCUAGAGACCUGGGAGAAGCCUCCUCCCCAUCCUGAUGGCAGGGCCUCCAUUUUUUUGUAGAGGCCCAGAAAGAGGCUCUUGAGACUCCAGUUGUCUCAAAAAUUAGGGGAGAGGUGGAGUGCUAGCUGAGCUCCCAGAUCCAAGCACCCUAAAAACGCCCCAGUCCAUCAACUCUCUAGGCCUUACUUUGGGGAGCCUGGGAUCCUCUUCCAAUUUCUCCAUUUGGCCCCAACUCUAGAACCAAGUGGGAGGUGGAACCAGCUUUCUUACCUCCUUUUAGGCAAUCCCACCUAGUGUAGUCCUGUCUUGGCAGCCUUUCCUGGAAGCUGGCCUGUCUGUCUUUUCGUCAGCAAAGAUGUCUUGCUCCCACAAAUAUGUAUUGGUCCUGGGUUUUUGCUCCCCCUACUCCAGUGUCCAAAGAGUACCGGGAUGUCUCUGUUACCUGGUAGAGGUUCCCGAUGUCAUUCAUCUGUCUGUCUCUGCAUCAGCUGACCAUCUUCCAGUGGUACCUCUCCUCCCCUGCUCACCCCUCACCAGAUGGAGUGAUAGCUCUCUGGGGACAGGCAGGGUGGCUGCACUCAGCAACUAAUCCAAAUGGCAAAUAUUUUGUAACAAAAUAGCCCAGAGGUAUUUUAUCUGUUCAAUUCCUAGAGUUUUAGAGAUUCUAUUGAACUGUGUCACUUGA